rnacentral:ncRNA from 2 species
UAGCGAUUAUCCAGGCUUGUAUCCUGGGGGCUGAUGAGGAGUAGGGUUUCUGGACAACUUAAACAGAUCCAGAGUUAGUCGAUCCUAAUCUCAAUAAUGGGAGAAAGGGAGUACAGUUGAUAUUCUGUAACUGACAACAGUUCGCGGCAACGCAUACUAUUUUCUCCGCCAAUCUUAUACCGUUGGUAGGGAUCUCUUUCCUACAUGACAGUACUAAUACCCAGGGAAACUGGUCAUCAGGCGAACUGCGGCGUUCUGCUGGCAAAACAUAGCUUCGGUUAUGUCAAUGGCUAUUGGAUUGGUCCAUGAAGCGAAAAAUAGUUUACUGUGUCACUCGUACCGAUAACCGCAUCAGGUCUUCUAGGUAAGUAGCCUAUGGCCAUUGAGGCAUGAUAGUUCAGGGAAUUCGGCCAAUUAGAGCUGUAACUUCGGGAUAAAGCUUGGCUCUGAUGAAAAUCAGAACCGAUUGUUACGCGGAGAGCCCAACUGUUUAAUAAAAACGUAGUGUCGCGCUGUGGUAGUAUAGCCAGUGAACGCGACAUGAAUCCUGCUCAGUGCUGUGUCUGUUAAUAUGGUUCAAGCCAACGAAGCACCGGUAAAUAGCUGGGGUAACUAUGACUCUUAUCAAAGUAGCGAAAUACCUCGUCACUUAAUUAGUGACCUGCAUGAACGGAGCUAUGAGGUUCUCACUGUCCCAAACUGUCUCUCAGCGAACCAACUGUAGUGGGAACGGUCACUAGAUAUCCAGCGGGGAAAGAAGACCCUGUAGAGCUUCACUUUGGUCUAGUCUUGUAUAGUUCCUGCGGGGGUGUAGACUAGGUGGGAGAGCAAUCGAUUCUGAAAAACCACUACCCUGUUUGGAAUUAUGCUUACCUAUCACAAGGAAUAGGACUAGAUAGAAAGUUUGGCUGGGGCGGCACACCUUCGAAAGAGCAGCGAAGGUGUCCUAAGUUGAGCUCAGUGAGGACAGAAAUCUCACGUUGAGGAUAAGGCCAAAAGCUCAAUUUACUGUGCCUUUUUGUACUAGGAUCAGUUACGAAAGUAAGGCCUAACGAUCCCUAAAUAGCCUCAGGUGCGUGAGGAUUGGGGUGACAGACAAGUUACCUCCGGGACA